CAUUUCAGUGUGUUUUACCUCACUUUGGUGUCCAGUUCCAGAUACAUGAACCUAGGGGCUGGUAAGACCUAUCACUUCUCAUGGCGAGUGACUCCGAAUACUUAAAACUGGGAUAAAACAAACUCUUACUGCUUGUCUUGGUAGAGGCUUCCAGCUAGUUAGUAUCAAAGACAAGAAUGACUUUAUAGUUAUCGCCAGAAGUGGAUUCCAGUUGAUGUGCACAAGCGGCAACGAGGCACGACCUGGAGGUGGUCAACCAGGGAAACUAACCUACACAAACUGGUCUCACAGGAAGGCUCUAGCGACCACAGCCAGACAUCAGGGAAGGCGACGAGGACUCUCCCGGGGUACUGCAUAACAUCUAUAACAACGGCAUAGUGGCAAGAUAUUGCAUGUCAUAACGUAAAAUCUGUGAGACCAGCCUUUAAAUUUUGUUCUCCAGAAAAUGGCCUAGUUUACUGAAUGGUGAUUUUGUAAAAUAUAAAUUGGCGCAUAAUUUUCUAGUGCCUUAGCCAGGAGGACUCUUAAGGCUUUGUCUAUACAACUUAGCACGAAGGACUUGAAGUGUCGUUAGGGUAAUAGAUGCUUUGUAUUUUUCCUAAAACUAAAAAAUAAAUCUUGGUUAAGGAAACUGUUAAUAGUUUGACUUGUCACAAUGACAUGACAUGGUGGGGAAAGAAAAUUUUGCAUGAAAUUCUAGAAAGACAUUAUUAACAAAAGCAUGUAUCAUGAGGUUUCUAAUGAGAUUAUUAAAAUUUAGACCAAAGAUGGUGUUGCACGCAUGUUCAGUGUCGAGCUAGUUCCAUCUAAAUGUUUCACGUGAACUAAGAUGUUUUGCAUUGGUAAUGGGUAUCAUUUUUAUUUGGUUGACGGUGAUUUUUUACUUAUUGAAUACCAAAGAUGCAGGAGCCGGCUACACAUGGCCUGGCAA